GCAGCUGCUCAGAGAAGAAACGAUUCCAAGAGAAUCUCUGAUAAAGAUCUGCAGGCUGUCACUUUAUCUGCAAGGUUCCCUUUCCACAGCAACUCCACCCUCAAUGAUUUCAUAGGAGACAGGAGACGGAAGUGGGGAGCCUUUGCCUACCGCUUUAAAGAAAGUGACAGAUCAACUCAGUGGUCUCAUAGGGUUUCCGGAAGCUUGGCCAGCAAACGAUAUGCAGGAAUCACCAAGGAUUCCUUUCCUAACCCUAGUGGGGAAUAAAGCAUCAUGGAAUCCGAUGGACACAGCUUCCAAUUCUGACUCCACCGGCUGUGCCGGCUGCCUGACCUUGGGCAAACGCCACAGUUGCUCAAGACCUCAUCUCAUCGGCAGGAUAAGAAUCAUGUCAAGAAUCAGUGACAGGGUUCUGAUUCUGACUCCACCUCUUACCUGCUCUCCCGAUUUCUGUCUGCCUGAGGCCGAGUGUCCUCACCUGUGAAAUGGUGAGCAGGAAUCCAGGUAGGCCUGGGGGACCCCCAGACCUGAUCACUCACAGCAGCCUUUCACCAGCAGUGAAACCAAUGGUACCUUGGUUGUUGGCUUGCUCCAGAACAAGGCCGCAUGAUAUCGUGGGGAAAACCUGAAGACUGCUCCAUCACACAGGGCUUUUUAGUUGCAAGAAAUAGAAACUCCUUCUGACUCAUUGGAUCCUAAAUAGAAUUUUCUUUUUCUUUUUUUUUUU